AUUGAACGCUGGCGGCAGGCCUAACACAUGCAAGUCGAGCGAGCGGCGGACGGGUGAGUAAUGUAUGGGGACUGCCCGAUAGAGGGGGAUAACUACUGGCAACGGUGGCUAAUACCGCAUACUAUCGGAUAACCCAUAUGGGAUUAGCUAGUAGGUGGGGUAAAGGGUCACCUAGGCGACGAUAUCUAGCUGGUCUGAGAGGAUGAUCAGCCACACUGGGACUGAGACACGGCCCAGACUCCUACGGAGUGAGCAUUGGGGUAUAGUGCACAAUGGGCGCAGUCCUGAUGCAGCCAUGCCGCGUGUAUGAAGAAGGCCUUAGGGUUGUAAGGUACUUUCAGCGGGGAGGCGUUACCCGCAAAGGGAGCACCGGCUAACUCCGUGCCAGCAGCCGCGGUAAUUC
rnacentral:rRNA from 1 species